UACCAGCUCUCCGAGUGGUGGGGACGCUUAUUGGGCCUAAAGCAUCCGUAGCCGGCUGGGCAAGUCCUCCGUUAAAUCCAACGAUUCAAUCGUUGGCCUGCAGGGGAUACUGUCUGGCUAGGAGGCGGUAGAGGCCUACGGUAUUUCCGGGGUAGGGGUGAAAUCCUAUAAUCCCGGGAGGACCAUCAGUGGCGAAGGCUGUCGGCUGGAACGCGCUCGACGGUGAGGGAUGAAAGCUGGGGGAGCGAACCGGAUUAGAUACCCGGGUAGUCCCAGCUGUAAACUUUGCAGGCUGGGUGUUGGUGCGGCUACGUGCCGCUCCGGUGCCGUAGGGAAACCGUUAAGCCUGCCGCCUGGGAAGUACGGUCGCAAGGCUGAAACUUAAAGGAUUGGCGGGGAGCACCACAAGGCGUGAAGCUUGCGGUUC
rnacentral:rRNA from 1 species